rnacentral:pre_miRNA from 1 species
UUGGUUUAAAUUAUUGUGGGUUUAUACUUUGAAAAUUAAACUCACAUAAAGUAGUGGAAAAUACAUUAAUUUCAUCAAA